rnacentral:rRNA from 1 species
CUUUUGGCGGUUAGUGGGAUGGGGCCCGCGGCCUAUCAGCUUGUUGGUGGGUAAUGGCCUACCAAGGCGACGACGGGUAGCCGGCCUGAGAGGGUGUCCGGCCACACUGGGACUGAGAUACGGCCCAGACUCCUACGGGAGGCAGCAGUGGGGAAUAUUGCACAAUGGGCGCAAGCCUGAUGCAGCGACGCCGCGUGAGGGAUGACGGCCUUCGGGUUGUAAACCUCUUUCAAUAGGGACGAAGCGCAAGUGACGGUACCUAUAGAAGAAGCACCGGCCAACUACGUG